GACGAACGCUGGCGGCGUGCUUAACACAUGCAAGUCGAACGGAAAGGCCCUGCUUUUGUGGGGUGCUCGAGUGGCGAACGGGUGAGUAACACGUGAGUAACCUGCCCUUGACUUUGGGAUAACUUCAGGAAACUGGGGCUAAUACCGGAUAGGAGCUCCUGAUGCAUGGUGGUGGUUGGAAAGUUUCGGCGGUUGGGGAUGGACUCGCAGCUUAUCAGCUUGUUGGUGGGGUAGUGGCUUACCAAGGCUAUGACGGGUAGCCGGCCUGAGAGGGUGACCGGCCACCUUGGGACUAAGAGACGGCCCAGACGCCUACGGGAGGCAGCAGGGGGGAAUAUUGCACAAUGGGCGGAAGCCUGAGGCAGCAACGCCGCGUGCGGGAUGACGGCCUUCGGGUUGUAAACCGCUUUCGCCUGUGACGAAGCGUGAGUGACGGUAAUGGGUAAAGAAGCACCGGCUAACUACGUG
rnacentral:rRNA from 1 species